AUGCAGUACUGGUCCAUCGAGGAGGCGCGGGAGGUGUUCGGCGACAAGGUGUGCGUCGACCGGCUCAACAGCCGCACGCUGGAGCGCGGCCACACCAAGACCUUUGCCUGAUGGGUCUGGGUGUGGGACAUGUCCUUCAUCCCCACCACGCACACCUACUGGAAGCUUCCGCGGGGCGACGGUCGGGUGGAGGAGAUGGAUGGCUUCUCUCCGCCGGACCGCGGGGUGGCGCCUCCUCCGGGGGCGAUGCGCUUCGACCUCCUCAUCCACGUUGAUCUCAUCGAAGACUGGUCCCCGCGCUCUCCUCGCUCCUCCCACUCCGCACAGAGUGGGAUGCCCUCCUCCGGCACCGAAGACGACGAUGCGCUGCCGUGCACAUUCCCCGGCACCUAG
rnacentral:rRNA from 1 species